rnacentral:ncRNA from 2 species
UAUGCUAUACUAGUUGAGUUGCCGAGUUUGUAAGGGAAAGGCAUGUCUUUCUUCUUAUUCCUAGCAACCCUUGGCUCUUAGCUUCUUUCGCCAAGCAUAUUACACGCGGUAAAACCGCCAAAGGAGAAUUUGAUG